GGGAGAUACAAGUUAGUGAAGAUAGAAAAAAUUACGUUUCCUCCGUGCUACCAGCAGUCGUGGCACCGGCCUCUGCAACCUGCUUGAUCAGCUCGGGUCCUUUGCAGAAUGCCAGGAUUGUUCUUUCUUCAUCACGAGGAAAGUUGUGUGGUAGCAGAGUUAGACGCACUAUGUUCUCUAUAUAACGAUUCUGUAAGAGUUUUUGUUUAUUGAUUAAAUUGUAUGAUUUUAAACUAA